rnacentral:ncRNA from 1 species
GAGAGCCACGUGAUACGGAAACGAUCAUGCGUGGUUCGGAGAGGGGUUGUUGGAAAAGUACUUAACAAGUAACUCGCUGGCUGCCCACUCUAC